rnacentral:rRNA from 1 species
CUACGGGGGGCAGCAGUGGGGAAUUUUGGACAAUGGGGGCAACCCUGAUCCAGCCAUGCCGCGUGCGGGAAGAAGGCCUUCGGGUUGUAAACCGCUUUUGUCAGGGAAGAAACGCUCCGGGCUAAUACCUCGGAGUAAUGACGGUACCUGAAGAAUAAGCACCGGCUAACUACGUGCCAGCAGCCGCGGUAAUACGUAGGGUGCAAGCGUUAAUCGGAAUUACUGGGCGUAAAGCGUGCGCAGGCGGUAAUACAAGACAGAUGUGAAAUCCCCGGGCUUAACCUGGGAACUGCAUUUGUGACUGUAUUGCUGGAGUGCGGCAGAGGGGGAUGGAAUUCCGCGUGUAGCAGUGAAAUGCGUAGAUAUGCGGAGGAACACCGAUGGCGAAGGCAAUCCCCUGGGCCUGCACUGACGCUCAUGCACGAAAGCGUGGGGAGCAAACAGGAUUAGAUACCCCUGUAGUC